rnacentral:rRNA from 1 species
CCUAACACAUGCAAGUCGAACGGUAACAGGAAGAAGCUUGCUUCUUUGCUGACGAGUGGCGGACGGGUGAGUAAUGUCUGGGAAACUGCCUGAUGGAGGGGGAUAACUACUGGAAACGGUAGCUAAUACCGCAUAACGUCGCAAGACCAAAGAGGGGGACCUUCGGGCCUCUUGCCAUCGGAUGUGCCCAGAUGGGAUUAGCUAGUAGGUGGGGUAACGGCUCACCUAGGCGACGAUCCCUAGCUGGUCUGAGAGGAUGACCAGCCACACUGGAACUGAGACACGGUCCAGACUCCUACGGGAGGCAGCAGUGGGGAAUAUUGCACAAUGGGCGCAAGCCUGAUGCAGCCAUGCCGCGUGUAUGAAGAAGGCCUUCGGGUUGUAAAGAAGGUUCAGC